GACGAACGCUGGCGGCGUGCUUAACACAUGCAAGUCGAGCGGAAAGGCUCCUUCGGGGGUACUCGAGCGGCGAACGGGUGAGUAACACGUGAGUAAUCUGCCCUGCGCUCUGGGAUAGCCACCGGAAACGGUGAUUAAUACCGGAUAUGACCGCUACACGCAUGUGUUGGUGGUGGAAAGUUUUUCGGCGCAGGAUGUGCUCGCGGCCUAUCAGCUUGUUGGUGAGGUAAUGGCUCACCAAGGCUUUGACGGGUAGCCGGCCUGAGAGGGUGACCGGUCACACUGGGACUGAGACACGGCCCAGAAUCCUACGGGAGGCAGCAGUGGGGAAUAUUGGACAAUGGGCGGAAGCCUGAUCCAGCAACGCCGCGUGAGGGAUGACGGCCUUCGGGUUGUAAACCUCUUUCAGUACCGACGAAGCGAAAGUGACGGUAGGUGCAGAAGAAGGACCGGCCAACUACGUGCCAGCCGCCGCAGUAACAC
rnacentral:rRNA from 1 species